CAGGUAGGGAUACCCGCUGAACUUAAGCAUA
rnacentral:rRNA from 2 species